GCUUGCUUCGGCAGCGCAUAUACUAAAAAUUGGAACAAUACAAAAAAAAGAUUAGCAUGAACCCUGCACAAGGAUAACAUGCAAAUUCGUGAAGCGUUCCAUAUUAUU